GAGUUUGAUUCUGGCUCAGAUUGAACGCUGGCGGCGUGCUUAACACAUGCAAGUCGAACGUGAAAGGGGCUUCGGCCCCGAGUAAAGUGGCGCACGGGUGAGUAACGCGUGGACAAUCUGCCCUUAUGAGUGGGAUAACAGUUGGAAACGGCUGCUAAUACCGCAUACGCUCAGGAAUGACUUUUUGAGGAAAGGCGGCCUCUGCUUGCAAGCUGUCGCAUAAGGAUGAGUCCGCGUCCCAUUAGCUUGUUGGUGGGGUAACGGCCUACCAAGGCAACGAUGGGUAGCCGAUUUGAGAGGAUGAUCGGCCACACUGGAACUGAAACACGGUCCAGACUCCUACGGGAGGCAGCAGUGGGGAAUAUUGCGCAAUGGGCGAAAGCCUGACGCAGCGACGCCGCGUGAGGGAUGAAGGUUUUCGGAUCGUAAACCUCUGUCGGAAGGGAAGAAGGUGCACUCUGCCAAUCAGGGG
rnacentral:rRNA from 1 species